rnacentral:rRNA from 1 species
GACGUAGGGGGCGAGCGUUGUCCGGAUUUAUUGGGCGUAAAGAGCUCGUAGGCGGCUCGUUGCGUCGGCUGUGAAAACCCGCAGCUCAACUGUGGGCUUGCAGCCGAUACGGGCGGGCUGGAGUUCGGUAGGGGAGUCUGGAAUUCCUGGUGUAGCGGUGAAAUGCGCAGAUAUCAGGAGGAACACCGGUGGCGAAGGCGGGUCUCUGGGCCGAUACUGACGCUGAGGAGCGAAAGCGUGGGGAGCGAACAGG